UAGAUACCCUGGUAGUCCACGCCGUAAACGAUGAGCACUAGGUGUCGGGCUCGAAUGAGUUCGGUGCCGCAGCAAACGCAAUAAGUGCUCCGCCUGGGGAGUACGCACGCAAGUGUGAAACUCAAAGGAAUUGACGGGGACCCGCACAAGCAGCGGAGCAUGUGGUUUAAUUCGAAGCAACGCGAAGAACCUUACCAGGGCUUGACAUCCCACUGAAGUAACGGGUAAUGCCGUUAUGAUCUUCGGAACA
rnacentral:rRNA from 1 species